rnacentral:rRNA from 1 species
ACCGAGUCUUAAUAGGGCGUCUAGUUGCAGGGUAUAGACCCGAAACCGAGUGAUCUAUCCAUGAGCAGGUUGAAAGUGACGUAACAGUUACCGGAGGACCGAACCCACUGUCGUUGAAAAGCCAGGGGAUGACUUGUGGAUAGGGGUGAAAGGCUAAUCAAACUCGGUGAUAGCUGGUUCUCCCCGAAAGCUAUUUAGGUAGCGCCUCGGACGAACACCAUUGGGGGUAGAGCACUGUUUCGGCUAGGGGGUCAUCCCGACUUACCAAACCGAUGCAAACUCCGAAUACCGAUGAGUGAUAUCCGGGAGACAGACGGCGGGUGCUAACGUCCGUCGUCAAGAGGGAAACAACCCAGACCGCCAGCUAAGGCCCCAAAUUCCUAGUUAAGUGGGAAACGAUGUGGGAAGGCACAGACAGCUAGGAGGUUGGCUUAGAAGCAGCCAUCCUUUAAAGAAAGCGUAAUAGCUCACUAGUCGAGUCGGCCUGCGCGGAAGAUGUAACGGGGCUCAAACUAGGAGCCGAAGCUGCGGAUUUAAUUGUUUCAAUUAAGUGGUAGGGGAGCAUUGUGUAAGCCUGUGAAGGUGUGUUGUAAAGCAUGCUGGAGGUAUCACAAGAG